UAGAGUUUGAUCAUGGCUCAGGAUGAACGCUGGCGGCGUGCCUAACACAUGCAAGUCGAGCGAUCUCUUCGGAGAGAGCGGCGGACGGGUGAGUAACGCGUGGGUAACCUGCCCUGUACACACGGAUAACAUACCGAAAGGUAUACUAAUACGGGAUAACAUACGAAAGUCGCAUGGCUUUUGUAUCAAAGCUCCGGCGGUACAGGAUGGACCCGCGUCUGAUUAGCUAGUUGGUAAGGUAAUGGCUUACCAAGGCAACGAUCAGUAGCCGACCUGAGAGGGUGAUCGGCCACACUGGAACUGAGACACGGUCCAGACUCCUACGGGAGGCAGCAGUGGGGAAUAUUGCACAAUGGGCGAAAGCCUGAUGCAGCAACGCCGCGUGAGCGAUGAAGGCCUUCGGGUCGUAAAGCUCUGUCCUCAAGGAAGAUAAUGACGGUACUUGAGGAGGAAGCCCCGGCUAACUACGUGCCAGCAGCCGCGGUAAUACGUAGGGGGCUAACGUUAUCCGGAAUUAGGGCGUAAAGGGUGCGUAGGUGGUUUUUUAAGUCAGAAGUGAAAGGCUACGGCUCAACCGUAGUAAGCUUUUGAAACUAGAGAACUCGAGUGCAGGAGAGGAGAGUAGAAUUCCUAGUGUAGCGGUGAAAUGCGUAGAUAUUAGGAGGAAUACCAGUAACGAAGGCGGCUCUCUGGACUGUAACUGACACUGAGGCACGAAAGCGUGGGGAGCAAACAGGAUUAGAUACCCUGGUAGUCCACGCCGUAAACGAUGAGUACUAGGUGUCGGGGGUUACCCCCCUCGGUGCCGCAGCUAACGCAUUAAGUACUCCGCCUGGGAAGUACGCUCGCAAGAGUGAAACUCAAAGGAACUGACGGGGACCCGCACAAGUAGCGGAGCAUGUGGUUUAAUUCGAAGCAACGCGAAGAACCUUACCUAAGCUUGACAUCCCACUGACCUCUCCCUAAUCGGAGAUUUCCCUUCGGGGACAGUGGUGACAGGUGGUGCAUGGUUGUCGACAGUGGUGACAGGUGGUGCAUGGUUGUCGUCAGCUCGUGUCGUGAGAUGUUGGGUUAAGUCCCGCAACGAGCGCAACCCUUGCCUUUAGUUGCCAGCAUUAAGUUGGGCACUCUAGAGGGACUGCCGAGGAUAACUCGGAGGAAGGUGGGGAUGACGUCAAAUCAUCAUGCCCCUUAUGCUUAGGGCUACACACGUGCUACAAUGGGUGGUACAGAGGGUUGCCAAGCCGCGAGGUGGAGCUAAUCCCUUAAAGCCAUUCUCAGUUCGGAUUGUAGGCUGAAACUCGCCUACAUGAAGCUGGAGUUACUAGUAAUCGCAGAUCAGAAUGCUGCGGUGAAUGCGUUCCCGGGUCUUGUACACACCGCCCGUCACACCAUGGAAGUUGGGGGCGCCCGAAGCCGGUUAGCUAACCUUUUAGGAAGCGGCCGUCGAAGGUGAAACCAAUGACUGGGGUGAAGUCGUAACAAGGUAGCCGUAUCGGAAGGUGCGGCUGGAUCACCUCCUUA
rnacentral:rRNA from 1 species